ensembl:lncRNA PMS2P4 PMS1 homolog 2, mismatch repair system component pseudogene 4
GGGAGCCCAGGAGGCGGGGCGCCUGUGGGAGUCGUGGAGGGAACUUUCCCAGGCCCCGAGGCGGAUCGGGUAUUGAGUCCAUGGAGCGAGCUGAGAGCUAGAGAUCUAAAGCUUAAGGACUAUGGAGUGGAUCUCAUUGAAGUUUCAGACAAUGGAUGUGGGGUAGAAGAAGAAAACUUUGAAGGCUUAACGAUGUCACCAUUUCUACCUGCCACGCAUCGGCGAAGGUUGGGACUCGACUGGUGUUUGAUCACGAUGGGAAAAUCAUCCAGAAAACCCCCUACCCCCACCCCAGAGGGACCACAGUCAGCGUGAAGCAGUUAUUUUCUACACUACCUGUGCACCAUAAGGAAUUUCAAAGGAAUAUUAAGAAGACGUGCCUGUUUCCCCUUCGCCUUCUGCCGUGAUUGUCAGUUUCCUGAGGCCUCCCCAGCCAUGCUUCCUGUACAGCCUGCAGAACUGACUCCUAGAAGGACCCCACCCCCCUCCCCCAACCCCUGCUCCCAGGAGGACACGUGAUCACUGUAUUCAGCUCCAUCAAGAAUGGUCCAGGUUCUUCUAGAUGAUCUGCACAAAUGGUUCCUCUUCUCCUUCCUGGUGUCUGCCAUUAGCAUUGGAAUAAAGUUCCUGCUGAAAAUCC